GCAUAAAUAUAUCGAGGAACACCAGUGGCGAAGGCGGCUAUUGAACUGUAAUUGACACUUAAGCACGAAAGCGUGGGGAGCAAAUAGGAUUAGAUACCCUAGUAGUCCACGCCGUAAACGAUCUAGAUUAGAUGUCGGAAUUAUUCGGGUAUCGCAGCUAACGCAUUAAAUCUAGCGCCUGGGUAGUACGCACGCAAGUGUAAAACUCAAAGGAAUUGACGGGGGACCCGCACAAGUGGUGGAGCAUGUGGUUUAAUUCGAUGAUACGCGAAAAACCUUACCUACGCUUGACAUACUUGGCAAAACUAUAGAGAUAUAGUCGAGGUUAACCAAUGUACAGGUGAUGCAUGAUUGUCGUCAGCUCGUGUCGUGAGAUGUUUGGUUAAGUCCAGCAACGAGCGCAACCCCUAUCCUAUGUUACCAGCAUUAAGUUGGGGACUCAUGGGAGACUGCUAGGGUAACCUAGAGGAAGGUGGGGAUGACGUCAAAUCAUCAUGCCCCUUAUGCGUAGGGCUACACACGUGCUACAAUGGUACAUACAAAGUGCUGCAAACCCGUGAGGGUAAGCGAAUCACAAAAAAUGUAUCUCAGUCCGGAUCGAAGUCUGCAAUUCGACUUCGUGAAGUUGGAAUCACUAGUAAUCGUAGGUCAGCAAUACUACGGUGAAUACGUUCUCGGGUCUUGUACACACCGCCCGUUAAACCACGAAAGUCGGCAAUGCCUAAAACCAGUGUCCUAACCUUUUUAAGGAGGGAGCUGUCUAGGGUAGGGUUGAUAAUUGGGGUUAAGUCGUAACAAGGUAAC
rnacentral:rRNA from 1 species